rnacentral:rRNA from 1 species
CUGGCGGCAGGCCUAACACAUGCAAGUCGAACGGUAACAGGAAGCAGCUUGCUGCUUUGCUGACGAGUGGCGGACGGGUGAGUAAUGUCUGGGAAACUGCCUGAUGGAGGGGGAUAACUACUGGAAACGGUAGCUAAUACCGCAUAACGUCGCAAGACCAAAGAGGGGGACCUUCGGGCCUCUUGCCAUCGGAUGUGCCCAGAUGGGAUUAGCUAGUAGGUGGGGUAACGGCUCACCUAGGCGACGAUCCCUAGCUGGUCUGAGAGGAUGACCAGCCACACUGGAACUGAGACACGGUCCAGACUCCUACGGGAGGCAGCAGUGGGGAAUAUUGCACAAUGGGCGCAAGCCUGAUGCAGCCAUGCCGCGUGUAUGAAGAAGGCCUUCGGGUUGUAAAGUACUUUCAGCGGGGAGGAAGGGAGUAAAGUUAAUACCUUUGCUCAUUGACGUUACCCGCAGAAGAAGCACCGGCUAACUCCGUGCCAGCAGCCGCGGUAAUACGGAGGGUGCAAGCGUUAAUCGGAAUUACUGGGCGUAAAGCGCACGCAGGCGGUUUGUUAAGUCAGAUGUGAAAUCCCCGGGCUCACCCUGGGAACUGCAUCUGAUACUGGAAAGCUUGAGUCUCGUAGAGGGGGGUAGAAUUCCAGGUGUAGCGGUGAAAUGCGUAGAGAUCUGGAGGAAUACCGGUGGCGAAGGCGGCCCCCUGGACGAAGACUGACGCUCAGGUGCGAAAGCGUGGGGGAGCAAACAGGAUUAGAUACCCUGGUAGUCCACGCCGUAAACGAUGUCGACUUGGAGGUUGUGCCCUUGAGGCGUGGCUUCCGGAGCUAACGCGUUAAGUCGACCGCCUGGGGAGUACGGCCGCAAGGUUAAAACUCAAAUGAAUUGACGGGGGCCCGCACAAGCGGUGGAGCAUGUGGUUUAAUUCGAUGCAACGCGAAGAACCUUACCUGGUCUUGACAUCCACGGAAGUUUUCAGAGAUGAGAAUGUGCCUUCGGGAACCGUGAGACAGGUGCUGCAUGGCUGUCGUCAGCUCGUGUUGUGAAAUGUUGGGUUAAGUCCCGCAACGAGCGCAACCCUUAUCCUUUGUUGCCAGCGGUCCGGCCGGGAACUCAAAGGAGACUGCCAGUGAUAAACUGGAGGAAGGUGGGGAUGACGUCAAGUCAUCAUGGCCCUUACGACCAGGGCUACACACGUGCUACAAUGGCGCAUACAAAGAGAAGCGACCUCGCGAGAGCAAGCGGACCUCAUAAAGUGCGUCGUAGUCCGGAUUGGAGUCUGCAACUCGACUCCAUGAAGUCGGAAUCGCUAGUAAUCGUGGAUCAGAAUGCCGCGGUGAAUACGUUCCCGGGCCUUGUACACACCGCCCGUCAAGCCAUGGGAGCCGGGGGUACCUGAAGUGCGUAACCGCGAGGAGCGCCCUAGGGUAAAACUGGUGACUG